rnacentral:lncRNA from 1 species
GGGCCGGGUAAGGUCCAGCCGUAUCCGCCUCCUUCAUGUCCCGCUGUGGGAGGGGCUCUGGAGCGCCGGGACUGUGAGAUGGCCAAUGACGGUCUGACCCGUUGGGCCGGGCCAGGUCGCGGACAACGUCGACCGUUUGUUUAAGAAGCGUGGACUCUUGUCCUGAGUGCACCGAGGCUUUCAGCCUGCGGGACAGUGGUGCGAUUUGCAUUAGAGAAAGGGAGAUGCCAUGUGCUGGCCCAGCACUCCAACAGGGGCCUGACCUCUAGGAACGGGACACUGGAGGAAGCCUAGACAUCUGAACAAAUCAAGUCAUCCAGAUCCACGGUCAGCUCCUGCCCCGACUUGGCCUUCCUCCUGCUGGGCUGGCCCACGGACCUCGGGAACCUGCCCUGGCUGUGGGUGACCUGCAGCCUAUCUCCCAGGACUAUGGAAGCCCCAUGCAGGAACAUGGUUCUGACACUUUGGGGAUUAUACCCUAAGCUUAAAGGACUGGAAAAGCCCCUGAAGUCCCGAGACCACAACCCUCCACCUUCUAAAGAUAAGACAAGUCACUGAAGGUCUCAGAACUGUGGCCCAUUCACCCCUUCCCUCAAGACAAGAGUGUGGCCAAGCAUCAAUCUCACCCCCAGAGACCAGACGGUGUCCAGGUCUUGGGCAGACGAAACCUGCUCCUUGGGGAUGGUCUUCCUGGCUGUGCUUCCAAAGGGCUGGCCUGCAAUCAGCUGGUUUUCACUUGAUCCUUUCGGGGUUUGCAUUAUAUCUGACUGAAGGAAUGAACUGGGAGAGAACAGCAGAGCCGCAGCGGAAUGUGGAAAGGCCCACGUCCAGACUGUUCCCAUUCUGAUUUAAAAGCCUGAUGAAGGAACAGCUGAACUCAGAGAAACAGCAGGUGCCAUCUGCUUGAGCGUUGUCCUGGUUCACUUCCAGUAUAAAGCUCAGAGUGCAGGAAUAAUAUCCAAGUGCCAGCAAAACCACUUGGGUGGUCGCAAAAUGGAGUGAGGAGGAUCAUGAGGGCUGUGUUUCUGAAGAACCCACAGGGGGAGGCAGCAGGGAUGAACUGCAAAAAAGUGGCAGUCUAUGCUGCACACAUCAGCCCCACAAAAGAAUAACAAAAUCCAGGAGCAGAGAGCUGAGCUACCGUAACUGAGAAUGGCUCCGCAGUGGGGAUGGUUUGAGAACCGUGACCUGGGUCUAGAUGGCCCCUCUUGGAGCUCACUGGGACCCUGCAUACAUUCCCUGCCUAUUGACCUCACACAGCAGUGGCUUAGCUCGGCUGAGAGGAGAACUGUCUGUUCCUCUUUGUUGGUUUAACCAUAUGAUACACAAUCCUGUAAACAAAUUAAUUUCCUCUGGGACUUCUGAAAGCAUGCUAACUGCAUUAUCAUUUUUUUCUGCACAAAGGAAGCUUAGCAAGAAAACAAUUAUGGGAUGGACUUCAAAUGAUCUCCAAAUGGCCAUAAAAUAGAGAUGUAGUCAACAGAGAGGCAGGAGAAAAAAAAAUUAACAAGGUUUUGUUUGCUAAAAUCUAGGAUUCAUUUGAUUUUAAAGCUGUGUGACCCACUUCCAUUCUUUCUCCCUUCCAUCAGCUUUCUGCACAAACCUUUUGCCACCCUCAUUUUUAACAUUUGUAUUCCUCCUCUACUGCCCAGAGCCUUUCUACUCUGUGUUCUCCAAUUCAUCCUAAAAUCAAGACCAAGGUAGAAUUCUCGAACUUGGCCUAUUCUGAAAAAAAUGGACAUGGCUGGGACAGAGAGCUUGUGUGAAUAUUCCCAAUUGGUAAGGAAUGAGUUUGCACACUCAUUUAUUCUGCCAUCAAGCAUUUACUGGCUGUCUGGUUUGUGCCUGACCCUAUGCACUUCCUUAGGGAAUGGAAUAAAAAAAAAUACAUGAUCUUCUCCUUAAAGCAACUUGAUGCUUGAUAGAAUGACAGACAAAGCAAGAAUUGAAACAGAGUGAGGUGACUGCUGUGAUGGGUGAAUGCUUAGAGCUAGGGAGGGGUAGAAGAGGAGAGAGAAGGAGUAUUGCUUAGUUUGGGUCUUGAAAGAUAAGUUACUGUUCUUAAACUACAGUAGUAUACUGUUGAGGGGCACAGAUGGACCAUUCAAGACAGAAAGCUGCAAUGGCCUGUGGGGACAGGCGGAAACUGCCACCCUCCUCCAGUCACUCAGGCCCUAAACCAUAGCUGUGACAGUCUAUCAACUUACAUUCCAACCUCACCUGCAGGACACAAGGGAGAGAGUUGCCAAAGAGGUGGCUGUAGGUAAUGGGGUAUAUACAUUUGGAUACUGGACACAGAGAAGACACAGAUCCAAAGUCUCAUUGGGAUAAGGAAGUUAGGAGAGCUUGAGUUUCCUUGUUCUUAUUAAAAUAUAUGAACACUCCUUCAUUGAUUAUCAAUACCAUCCUGUCUGAAUGCAGACAUCUGGUAGUGGUCUCAUGUCUUCAGCAGGAACUCCCUUCUUUUCUAUCCUAGCCUCCUGUCCACAUCCCAAUAGGCUUAGUGAGUCUUUUGGGUAGAAAAAAAUCUUAGAGCCUUUUAUUCCAAAUCCCUCCUGAUAAGUGAAAGAAGCCAGUCUUAAACAGCUACAUACUGAGCCAGGCAUGGUGGCUCAUGCCUGUAAUUGCAGCACUUUGGGAGGCUGAGGCGGGUGGAUCACUUGAGGUCAGGAGUUCCAGACCAGCCUGGCCAACAUGGCGAAACCCCAUCUCUACCAAAAAUACAAAAAUUAGCUGGGUGUGGUGGCGGG